UAAUAAUGCAGAAUAUGAAAAUUAAUGGAGAAUGUUGCCCAAAGUGUCUUCCAGGAAAGCGAGUUUAUAAAGACUGUGAUAGUGUAACAAGCACAACAUGUGAUUCAUGUCUCAUGAUGACUUACACUCCUGUUCGGAAUGGAUUAACAGAAUGUCUGCCCUGUUCUGUCUGUGAUACAAGUGAUGGGCUGAGAGUAAAGCCAGGCAUGUACAUUAACAUCAGA